GAUGAACGCUGGCGGCGUGCCUAAUACAUGCAAGUCGAGCGAACGGACGAGAAGCUUGCUUCUCUGAUGUUAGCGGCGGACGGGUGAGUAACACGUGGAUAACCUACCUAUAAGACUGGGAUAACUUCGGGAAACCGGAGCUAAUACCGGAUAAAAUUUUGAACCACAUGGUUCAAAAGUGAAAGACGGUCUUGCUGUCACUUAUAGAUGGAUCCGCGCUGCAUUAGCUAGUUGGUAAGGUAACGGCUUACCAAGGCAACGAUGCAUAGCCGACCUGAGAGGGUGAUCGGCCACACUGGAACUGAGACACGGUCCAGACUCCUACGGGAGGCAGCAGUAGGGAAUCUUCCGCAAUGGGCGAAAGCCUGACGGAGCAACGCCGCGUGAGUGAUGAAGGUCUUCGGAUCGUAAAACUCUGUUAUUAGGGAAGAACAUAUGUGUAAGUAACUGUGCACAUCUUGACGGUACCUAAUCAGAAAGCCACGGCUAACUACGUG
rnacentral:rRNA from 1 species